CUUACGGUGGAGUCUCUAACGUCAUCACCGGCAGCCAUCUUGUCACAGUCAAGCUUUCUUGCGGGCUCUGUGGUACCUGAUGUAAGGUUUCCCAAAACCGGAAAGAUGAGGAGGCAGUGGGAACUUGCUCUAAGAAGGGACGGUUUUGUUGUCUCUGACAGGACACUGCUCUGCAGUGAGCACUUCAGGAGUGAGGACUUUGACAGAACGGGGCAGAAUGUCCGGCUUAAAGAUGGUGUUGUGCCAACCAUUUACAACUUUCCAGCUCAUCUUCAAAGUCUGGUAGCAACAAGAAGCACAACCACCUCUAGAAGAGCGGAAAACAACCUGCCAACGGACUUGUCUCAGGAUGCACCUCAACCUGAUGUUGUGAGUAUUUGCAUGUGGAAUAUCAAACAAAUGAGAGCAUCAUAUGGCUUAUUAUAUUAAAUCCUUUAUCUUGGUGGUACCCAGAAAGGUCUAUGAUGGUGUUAGUAGUCUAAGAGCCCAAUAUUAUUUGAGGUGGUACUCUGUGUAAAAAGUUUGAGAACUACUGGCUAUCUCACUUGCUCUG